rnacentral:rRNA from 1 species
UAGUCCACGCAGUAAACGAUGAAUGUUAGUCGUUGGGUCUCUAGUAGAUUCAGUGAUGCAGUUAACACAUUAAACAUUCCGCCUGGGGAGUACGGUCGCAAGAUUAAAACUCAAAGGAAUAGACGGGGACCCGCACAAGUGGUGGAGCAUGUGGUUUAAUUCGAAGAUACGCGAAGAACCUUACCUAGCCUUGACAUAUUUUAGAAUUCACCAGAGAUGGAGAAGUGCCUUCGGGAGCUAAUAUACAGGUGCUGCACGGCUGUCGUCAGCUCGUGUCGUGAGAUGUUGGGUUAAGUCCCGCAACGAGCGCAACCCUCGUCACUAGUUACUAACGAUUCGGUCGAGGACUCUAGUGAGACUGCCUUCGCAAGGAGGAGGAAGGUGAGGACGACGUCAAGUCAUCAUGGCCCUUACGGCUAGGGCAACACACGUGCUACAAUGGUUAGGACAAUGAGAAGCAAUAUCGCGAGGUGGAGCAAAUCUAUAAACCUAAU